rnacentral:rRNA from 1 species
UACGUAGGGGGCUAGCGUUGUCCGGAUUUAUUGGGCGUAAAGAGCGUGUAGGCGGCCAGGUAGGUCUGCUGUGAAAACUCGAGGCUCAACCUCGAGACGUCGGCGGAAACCAUCUGGCUAGAGUCCGGAAGAGGAGAGUGGAAUUCCUGGUGUAGCGGUGAAAUGCGCAGAUAUCAGGAAGAACACCAAUUGCGAAGGCAGCUCGCUGGGACGUUACUGACGCUGAGACGCGAAAGCGUGGGGAGCAAACAGG